AGAACGAACGCUGGCGGCAUGCCUAACACAUGCAAGUCGAACGCGUGUAGCGAUACACGAGUGGCGGACGGGUGAGUAACGCGUGGGAACCUGCCCUGGAGUGUGGGAUAACCGAGGGAAACUUCUGCUAAUACCGCAUACGACCUGAGGGUGAAAGAUUUAUCGCUCUAGGAGGGGCCCGCGUCGGAUUAGCUAGUUGGUGGGGUAAAGGCCUACCAAGGCAGUGAUCCGUAGCUGGUCUGAGAGGAUGAUCAGCCACACUGGGACUGAGACACGGCCCAGACUCCUACGGGAGGCAGCAGUGGGGAAUAUUGGACAAGUGGGGGCAACCCUGAUCCAGCAAUGCCGCGUGAGUGAUGAAGGCCUUAGGGUUGUAAAGCUCUUUCGCGCGCGACGAUGAUGACGGUAGCGCGAGAAGAGCCCGGCUAACUUCGCGCCAGCAGCCGC
rnacentral:rRNA from 1 species